UCCAGCGCCCACUAACACACUCCCCCAGUACCCACCCUACACACACACUCCCCCAGUACCCACCCUACACACACACACUCCCCAGUACCCACCCUACACACACCAUGGGUCAUGUUUGGCGUAAAUGAACCAGUCUGCAACCUUUACAGCCAGUGGGGCACUUCUGUUUUCUCAGGGCUUGUUACAGGAAUGUUUACCGUGACCAUGGCAACAACUCAGUGGUGGAAGACGUCAUUCCAAAGGCUUUUCUCCGGAAUGCUUUACCAGCGUUCCCGAUCAGCGGCAGAGAGCCUUGUUGUGGAGGGUUGCUGUUGUUCUCCAGCUUGCUGUUGUUCUCCCGGCUGGUGGCCAGCUUCUCUUCCUUACAGGCCCCGUGGUACACCUUCUUCAUCGUCUCCAUCUGCCAUAUGGCACAGAGAAGAAGCUGUCACUGGAGACGUCGACCAUGGAGUCAUCGUAGGAGCCGGACAUGGCUGCUGCCCUCGGUACCCACAGUCCUCAGGGGCUGAAACACACAGUCAACAACACCAUAACACACAGCAGACUGGCUGUUCUACAGACUGGCUGCAGGGGACAGGACAGCACUGAGGUCUUCAAAAAAAAGUGCUAUUUUUAUUGCAUUAAAUAAAAGUUUUACUUUC